rnacentral:pre_miRNA from 1 species
AGGCAGUGUAGUUAGCUGAUUGGCUGAAUCGGUGUCCAAUCACUAACCUCACCGCCAGG